AUCGCUUCUCAGCCUUUUGGCUAAGAUCAAGUGUAGUAUCUGUUCUUAUCAGUUUAAUAUUUAUCUUAUCCUUUACAUUUCUCUUUGGGAGUAAAUUUCC
rnacentral:snRNA from 1 species